CACGGGGGAGCAAGCGUUGUUCGGAAUCAUUGGGCGUAAAGCGCGUGUAGGCGGUCCGGUAAGUCCGCUGUGAAAGCCGGGGGGCUCAACCCUCGGAUGCCGGUGGAUACUGUCGGGCUUGAGUACGGAAGAGGCGAGUGGAAUUCCUGGUGUAGCGGUGAAAUGCGCAGAUUAUCAGGAGGGACACCAAUGCGAAGGCAGCUCGCUGGGACGUUACUGACGCUGAGACGCGAAAGCGUGGGGAGCAAACAGG
rnacentral:rRNA from 1 species